AGCUACUUGCCUUCCCAGCUAACAGAGGUUUUCUGGACGCCAUUGGCCAUCCUCCAGUAAAGAGAAAAGAAAAAGAUGGAUGCAGUGGAAUCUCAGUGUCAGAAGCUUCUGGCAGGGUGUUGCUGAGCUGUCUUCUUGUGGAGUACUUGUGCCCUGAUUGUCUCAGCCUUAGAUCUGGAGAUUGUUGAAGAAAGUCCGAGGCCAUGGAGUCAGUGACCCUCAGGAUAACGUGGGAUCUGGGUUUGCCUGAUAUUUCUCACCAUGAUUCCUGGUGGUGUUUGUGGAAACCAGAGAGGCACAGAGUGGAGAUUGAGGCUGCCAGAUGAAGCAUCACCAGGGCUCUCUCCUGCUGGCUCAGAGCAUCAUGAAACAACUGUCAUUCUGCACAAGAGAUCAGAGAAAAAGUGCUGAGGCUGUGGGCUUGGGGUCCAGACAUUGGAGAUACUACAGCUGGUUCUGGAUUGGGACAACAGUGCCCCAGAGGGACAGUCUUGUGUCCCUCUGCCCACACCUACAAUGCCUUUUUAAUAAGCAAGAGUUUCUCUCUUGGAUUUGUAGCCCUUUUCAUCAUUGUCCUCUCCUCCUGUCCAUUCAAUAAACAGACUUGCUUUUUGAAUCAGUAA